UAUGGAAGCUUCGUAUCACUCAAGGAGGUCGAUCAUGUUAUAUUUAUAGUCACUAGCAGAGAUACACCGCCUUUUUGCAACCGGUGCUAAGAAAGCGUCGCUAAAUCUCACAACUUCUAGCACCAGCUGCUACAACCGAGGCUAGAAAUGACAAAUAGCACCGACCAGUGAUAUCAUCCGGUGCUAAAACACCCAACACCAAAUAAAAAAUCCCGCAAGCCACCGCCGCCGUUCCUCGUCGCCCACUUGUUGUGUCGCCGCCAUCGGAGCUUUCACCGUGCCAUGGAGGCCACCGCGGCUGAGCUCGCCCCGCGCCAUGACGCUUGACGGCGUCCAGGCAGCACCCAACCCGUCGCGGGUCUCUAGAUCGAAGAUCCACAGUCCAUCGGCCCUGUGCAAGAAUAAUAGAAUGGGGGAGAAGAACGGGGAGGCAGGCCGCCCAACCAACAAAUCAAGAAGGGAAGGAGGUGGAUUACCUGAGAAGAAGUCUGGAUCUGAGGUCGGAAGCUACGAGGUGGUCAUCGCCAAACACUUGCAUCAGUUCAGCACGCCCAAACCUUGUUGCGAUUAAGAGAAAAAAUCAAAAGAAAGGAAACGAUCUGGACUCAUGUUCGUGAUUUAGAUUGGGCGUUAGCAUGUGGAUUGAGCGGAGCGUGUACCUGCAUGCGGAGCUCCUUGGCUUUCUCCAUGACGCUCAGCGUCGUGCGCUUGAGGUCCACCUCCACGAACGGUAGCACUUCCGCGCGCGCCUGAAUCGACCCAGCCCUCGUUAGUUCAGUGACACACACCAAUAACCGGAAUCCACCUCGAGCUCGAGGUGGUGGAAGCCAUGGAGGCGGGGAAAAGGGAUACGACUAUACGACGUGUGUCACACCCGGUUUUGGAAGGUAAACCGAAUGCGAACUAUGUACGUGCCAGGAUCAGAACUCACGUACACAACGAUUAUAUAAUUGGACAUCAUCACACAAUGCUUGAAUUAAAUAGCGGAAAGGUACUUAGUUACAUCAAGAUAUCGGAGACAUCCAUAGAGUCUAUUACAUAAACAUAGUGUUUAACAAUAACAUCAAAGUGUGGAGUAACGAAACGUAGAAUGUAAGCCUACACAGGCAGCUGACUGGGGGUUUGCCACUAAAAUAAACUAGAACCCGUCGUAGUCCUAGAACUCCUCAAAGUCCUCCAUGUUACCAGCUUCACCUCCUGAGCACUGAGAACAGUGGGGACAACCUGGGGUGGGGUGGUUUGUAAAGCAAGGGUGAGUACACUUCAACGUACUCAGCAAAUGUCCCGUUUGGCUAAAGUGGACUAGCUGUAUGUGGAGUUUAAGGUUAAGCAGUUGCUUUUAGUUAGUCAAGUUUUAUUACUAUAAGUAGAGCCAAGUUUUAGUAAUAACCCAGUUAUUACCCAGAGGCACUCCCUCCAAGAGGAAAUACCAGAGAUCAGAAUUAUAAUCACCAUUGUUAAUCAUCAUCACAAAAGUAACCAUUGUUCUUCUAAUCGAAGAGGAUCCCAAGGCUGCUCAUAACCGUGAGCACGGCUGAUAUACCAGUUUCUAACACUCUGCAGAGGUCGCACACUUUACCCACAAGUCAUGAUUCCCAUUCUGCCCGGGGUUCUAGCCUCUCCAUUGAUCACUACCAAGGUGACCUAGCAGGGUCUCACUACGUAGCCUUUACAAAGAUUUCCCAGAGGUCAUAGUCGCCCGUUAGGUUUCUCCAGUUUGAUAAACACAGUACAUCUCCCUAGAGGAAGGGUGACUAACAAAACCAAAUCAAAGAACCUCUGCAACCAGCCUCGGCAGAGCAAGUAUUGUGCCCGGACCCCAUUGACGGCCCUACGGCGAAGCCAACUACUCAUCUGGUUCCUCUAAUUAAUCAGCUAAAGGCGUCUCAGCUGUCUCAUUCCACCCUCAUGGUUGCACUGUUAUCCCGGGUUGUCACUCCCCAAACAGCCUGAGUCCCCUAAAGUAAUCAUAAGGACCCCAUCGGGAUAACAUCAUCGUAUCAUAAAAGAUCAUAUCAUGUUCAUUGAUUAAGUUAAAGCAAUAGCAUAAGCUAACCAUGAUUAGCCCAAAAAGGUAAACAAGGGUAAGGUAAAUACAGACUAGUGAAUCCUUAAGUUUCAAUAAUGUAAUGCGGGACAGUGGAUUAUAAAGUAAAGUAGGACAUGAUAGGUCUGAGGACACUUGCCUUCACCAGCUUGUUGUUCAGGGAGGUCUCCAACAACACACUCAGGAACCUCGAAUUGUUCGUUGUCUAAGUAAAGCGAGCAUACAUUCAAUACAUUUAGAAAAGUAUAAAUGAACAGCACAUCAAACAUGUACAAACAUUGGCACAUAACUCAAAAAGGUAUAAUAUUAAGUGUAGGAGAAUGAUAUCAAGUUAUAAAAAUGGACUAAUCCUAAUUGGGAAAUUGAUUACUCUCUAAAUGUUUGGAACAUAGCUCAAAAAGGUUAAGUAGUGAUUAAAACAAAGGAAAGCUAGAAUUAUAAUAUAAACUACUCUCAUUUAGGAAUUUGAUUAUCUUUUAAGUAUUAUCCAUAAUUACAUUCCUAAUUCUAUUUAUGUCAUUAAGGCCUAAAGGUUAAGCCAACACUAAAUCCAAGUAAUGCAUAACACUAAUCUCACAAGAUUGAAUAUACUUUAUUCCUAGGGUUCUCCUUUUAUUUAUUUCAUUAAAUAAAUAAAUCAACUUAUACUUUAAUUCUAUAUUCUAAGUGUAAAAAUUAAAGUAUACAGAUUACAGUUGGUCAUAUUUUAUUUGAACAAAGAAUAAUUUGGUGAACAUUUUGCAAUUUGAACCACUAAAUUUGGAGUUCAUAUGAAAAAGAUAUGAAAUAAACAAGUUUUGAAGUUUGAAAUAUGAAAUUAGGGCUAAAUCUGUGAUUAAAUAAAAGUCUAGGGGUCUAAUUAAAACAAACCACGGACCUAUGCGUUAAAACAGAGGACGGCAGGUUGAUUUCCAAAAACCAGGGGGGUUCUUAAGCAAAACAACCACGCGAAGGGGUAUCGGGCUCACUCAACCGUUGGAUCAGAAACCGACGGCUGAGAUUAGAUCGUGCGGGCGGGCGCGCGGGCACGGCUGAUAAGCGGGGCUAGGGCGUCAGCGGGUCAGGGUGGGCUGACCGGUCGGGCCCAGAGGCAGAGGCGCGGGUGAGGGGGAGAGAGGGGGGCGGUCAGAUCCCGAUCGAAGGGCUAGGAUUAGUGUGACAGAACCUAGCAAGUCAUUAGGCCCACCUACAGUUUUCCUUGUCCAACAGACCUCAGACAACCCUGCAGGUGCCCCUGAAUCACUUGACAAGUUCGGUAUCUGUAUUCCUUACCUUUUCCAAGAGCGUUUCACCCGUCACGCAGAUAUUACAAUACAUCGGAGGUACGAAAAUGCGGAAGCAAUUACAAUAACUUACCAUAUAUUAAAAGUAAGAAAGAGUUGGUUUAUUAUAGACCAGAAAUAAAUAUAAGAGUGCUGAGUAUUAUUAUUACAUCACUGGGAGGCAAAAACCCCUCCCGAUAGACAUUAAACAAAAGUUUGAACGGAGGAUCCUUUCCUCCUGAAGCUUCACUCCUGGCUUUCUUCUUUGGGAACCACCUUUGAACAAAAGCAGCAAAAGUUUGCCGCUUCCUCACCUAAAACCACAUGGGACAAAGCCCUGAGUACGAAGUGUACUUUCGCAAGACUUACCCGACAAAGUAAAAGACUCUCAAGGAUAUGCUGGCUUUAAGGAAGUCAAGGUAAGGCUUAUUAAUAAUCAAUGACUCUGUUUGCAGAAAUGCUUACAAAUAGUGGAUCCUUAAAAAUCCAGUUUUAUUUGUCAGGUUAAGUAAAAUUACCUGCAACUAGAGUUCUUUCUACCCUAGUUCAAUCACUUGACCUGCACUAGCCAAUUUCUUAACAACCCUUCAUCUUCACUGGAGUUCUACGUAUAGGGCAGUGACCAAGUCUUCAUAUCCGCGAAGUUACGACGAUCCAAAUCGAUUAUACUCAGCUGAAGAUCUCCAAUCACACGACAUAUGUAGCACUUAACCCUUGCAUAUGUCAACUCGCCACCGGGGUUCUUAAGACCAGAUCAGGUUCACGCCAACCGAGAGCACAGAUACACCACCGUCCAGCCUAUUGCCACGGAGGGUACACGCUACUCUCGCCAUCUCUCCACUCCCAUUGCGUGUUAUCUUAAUCUGGUAUUAGUCUGCCCGAGGCAAAGCUUACCCAUGACGAGGCAUAUGACCAGUUAAAGGGUCCUCGGUCAGCAAGCCUACAUCGAGACGGUACUUAAUCGACUCAGACGGAGACACUACACCGAGACUCUCUUCUCGUGCAAGUCACCCGCCCGGUCUCAGCUUUAUCAUUUCAGCCCAAAGUUUGGUACCUGGCAGAGGUACAUCUUUUCCGAUGUUGAACCCAUCAUGGAUCCACCAUCAAGUUUUAUUUUCGAAAACAUCCCAACCCCUUUGAAGCACCAUCCUUUGUGAAAACAAAUUAUUUUGUUUUUCUAAAGCAAGGCUAAGCAUAAGAAAAACCUUUUGUGAAACAGGGAUUUAAGAGGUAAUCAAAUCCAAGGAAGGAAAUGCAGGAAUUGGUUUAGCACACAACUCCUAUUACCUAAUGCAUCAAGUAAGUGAGAAAGAUUUUAAAAGCAACAAGGAGGUGGCAAAUGCACCGGGGCUUGCCUUGUGUUACUGGUGAAUCAGGCUCUGUUCCACAGAUAUCAAAAUAAAAGCAGUUGCCUGCCUGAUGUUCCUCAGGUGGUGGUGAAGUCUUCGCUUCUUCGACUUCUACUUACUCUUCGUUUUCUAAAUAUAGCCAUACAUAAUAAUGAAUGCCCAUGUAAUGCUCAUGAGAGUGCAAAGAUAAUAAAAGUUUAUUAUCUAAAGUCUUGAAUACAACUUUCCUUUACGGAUCUCCGAGAACUUAGUGUUUUCGGAGUUAAUAGUGAGGUUCAUAGGGCAGGGGAUAGGGUUUUGGGUUCUAAGUAUCAAACAUGGUCCAAAUCAUACCAAACUUUACCCAAGGCUUCUAAAUAUUAUUUAGAGUUUACCCUAAAAGUUUAGUAAAUUUUGGAUUUAUUAUUUAUCCUCUAAAAAUCCAGAAGCAAGGUUUUUGGCUAUUUUAAAUACUCUAUAAUUUCCUUUUUGGACUAAAAAUCAUGAAACUAUUUUUAUUAAAUUCUAUAGUAAAUUAGAAGUCUAGCAAAAUUGGUCUGGUAUUUUUAGGAUUUUUCUACAAUUUCUUAUAGAUUUCCAAAGUCCAAUAGAAAAAGAAAAAGGAACAGUUCUGGGCUGAAUCCGACCCGAACCGGCCAGCUAGGGCAGAAGCGCGCCCACGCGCGCGCCCGCGUGCAAACUUUGCGAAUAGACCCCCUGCGUUUUGAAUAACUCGAUCUGAGUUCCCUGCACUAUUUCUGUGAGUCGCUGACACUUGCAGAAAAAUCCCUGCACUUCCAUUUCUUCACAGUUUGAAGUCCCCGACGGCGAACGUCGCAACUAGAGUUUUUUUUUGAGUUUGUGUCAUUCCCUCUCCAAAGGCAAUGUUUCCUGUAAAUGUCAAUCUUUUUGAUGAUAGAAGCUGGAAUCUUGAGUGUACACAUAAAGAAGGUUGGCAAUGCUGAAAAAACUGAGUUUACCAACUACAGUCGUCCAGCUUUAGAUAAGAAUUUAGAGGAACAGGUUAAUCUCCUUUCGAUUCUGUGUAUCAGUGGAAGAAAAUGCUGAAGUCUUGGCUUUGAAAAACCCAAAGGUAGACCAAGGUAGGUAAAUGACAUUGAUCCGGUCUGACAAUUGAACGUUCUUGAGAGAAUCUCCAUUUUUUCAGAGUUAACAUUAAUUGGAUAGAUGCUUGAUUUGUUGUGGUUCACUCUGAGACCUGAUGAUGCUGCAAAUGUAUUGAGGAUGCCUUUUAGGAAAAAUAAAAGAUUUGGACAUGCUUCCAUUAUCAAAAGGGUGUCAUCUGCAUAUUGGACAAUAGGAAAAUCUUCUCAUCGCGCUCCUCAAGCGCUUCCCUAGCGUCUUCGAGGUUGUCGAGGAGGGCGUCUACUCCCCGCUGUCGUCGCUCCCCGCCUUGCUCUAUCGCGGCCGUGCCUCGCCGCCACACGUCCACCGCCCGAGAUCCCGGUCGACGCUCCGGCCUGAUCUCCAUUUUUGGCCUUCGGUUGGAGAUCGGCACUUCUCGGUGAUGUCCCUUUGGCUGCACGGCCACCCGAUCGGGUGUUUGGGUCUUUGAUUUGGGUCUGUAGCGUUGGAGAUACCCCCCUUCAAACUGCUGUCGGUCCGGAAGUCGUGCCUCCUAGCCGCCCACGCUCGCCGUCCGUGAUCCGUUCUCGACUGUUGGUGCUCCGGACUCACAGUCCAUAUUGAUGGCUACAUUAUCAUGGUGGAUGGAAUGGUCGGUGGAGAAUGUUCGUGAGGCAUUUUUCUCCUAUUUCGGGGAAAAUCAGCACGUGAGGUUGCCAUCUCCUAGUGAUGUUCUAUUUAAGGCCACCUUCUCAUUACCUAUUGAUGGCUCGUUCUUCAAUAUGCAGAAAUACAAGUUACCUCAGUCUAGAAUAUAUGCCUCAUACUUUAGUGGUGAUAUGUCCUCUUGUUUGAGUUCGGUCGACGAGUCAAGAAAUACCUUGCAGAAAUAUAUAGGAGCAGAAAAAUCUUGCCUUCCAUGUCCAAGGUUGAUUUUUGGAUGCCCGGUGAAACUGGUCCUUGUGGGCCAUGUAUUGGUUUUUUUCCUUGAUUGUUCGGACAACAAUGAUGGUGUUGAUUCCGUAAGGAACAUAACGGAUGGCAAGCUUGUUGACAUAUGCCGUCUUGUGUUUGUUGAGUUCGAUCGGCAAGCAGAUGGCGUCUUGGAGCCUUUCCAAGCUAAGCAUGUCUUAACAGGGAUUAAUCUUGAAUGUUUAGCUGCCAUUCUUCAAAAGAAAGAAAGCCACUAUGACUUGGAUGUAUACGCUUAUGUAAUUCGUCAAGUCUAUUGGGUAAGUUUUCCGUGUCCACUUCAAGUUACAAUAGCUGGCUGUGUAAUAUUAUUGAUUUCCAUGGUCAAUGACAUUUAAUAAUAUGCAUCGUACUUGUAAAGGUUUCAAGGAUUACACAGGUAAGGUUGGUGCUGCUGAUACAGAUGGAGUUGAUACGGCAUACCGCCUAGUCGCAGAUCACAUGAGAAUGAUCGCUGUUACUAAUGCACCCGGUUCUCAACUUGGUUAGAGCGUUAUGUUUCUGUUGGUCACGAAUGUUAAUAUAGUUACGACAUCAAUGUAGGGGUUUGUCAUGAGCACGAGUACAAUUAUUGGUCAUUUUCAAGGAACAAUCAGACCAAUCUGAUUGUUGGAUGACUUAUUACAUGAAUACAUUUUUUUGUCAUUAUAUUGUUCUUAUUGUGUUAAAAUUGGCUUUCAUCUGUAUGAAUACCAGGGUUAGGAAAUGAAGGUCGCGAGUAUUUCCUGAAGUGUGCUGAUAAACAGGCUGUGAAGUAUGGCUAUCAAGUACUUAAGAUAAAUGAAGAGGAUUACGACAUGAUGUCUUCUUCAAUGCACCGGUGCAAAUAACAGAGCAUCCAUGUUGUUGAUGCAAUUCUUCUAAAUGAACCUGAUUUAUGUACCGAGCUUGAAAAAGAAAUAAUCGACAGAAUAGUCAAAGAUGAAGUGAUGAUCUACAAAAAGACUAAAGCAGAGUUGCGGAAUCAGGAACAGCCGUUUGAUAUGGGGAAAAAGAAGAAAAGGAACAAAAAUGUCCCUGCUGUUGUGUGGUAUCCGACAAGGGUUAUCGAAUUUCUUGGUCGGCGCACACCCAUUAUCCUCAAGGAAAAGGAUACACGGUGCUCCCUAGUAGCAAUAUGCAACGUUCUCCUGCUUGGAGAGAAAAUAACCCUCGAUUUAGAUAUCAAGAAAGUGUUGGAGAGCCAUCUCAUCCAUCUUGUCCAGAG